rnacentral:lncRNA from 1 species
GAAUGGAUACAAAAUCUUUUAUAUAUAUUUUUUCAGCCUUUUGAACAUCCAAAAAAUGUUGUUGAAUUUGCAGAAUCUUACAAUAACUAUGGUGAGCUACAUGGGACAGCUGAGGAUUGCAGUGGGAACAGAAAAUGAGCUAAUAGAUCCUCCCAAGUACAAAUCUUGUGUUGAAAAUGCCUUUGAUAUAAUGUUCAAAGCCGCCACUGCGGCAACUCCGCCGCCAAAAAAUAUAUGAGAUUUCUAUUGCUUUACCAUUAAUUCAUAUUUUCCCUUUUUAUUUAAUAGGUUCUCUUUUAUGAUGGCAGUUUUACUUUGUUUUCUUCCUUUUAGCCCUUAAUUUUAUGCAUUUUCACAUGAUCAAAAUUAUAGUACUUUACGAAUUACAAGGAUUGAUAUUGGAAUAAUAUUCUUUACAUCAUUGGGUUUAUAAUAGUAUGUAGUAACUUUUCAUAAGAAUCAAUGUGAUGUAUUUUCAUUAUUGGUGGAA